CGCUUCUCCUCUUCGUCCUUACUCUCCACCAACUUGGCAGACGCCCCUUUCUUGGUCCCCACUUUCUUCUCCACUUCUUCAUUCCACCACCAAUCCCCCUGAUGGUGCCCGGCCCGGCCCCUAGAAACCCCCAACACCUCACUUGCAUUCUCCCUGAUGCACCUAGCCGCCCUAUCCCACAUACUAUCCACGUCUCCCCUACACUCCCACACCCCCAUUCC
rnacentral:lncRNA from 1 species